rnacentral:lncRNA from 11 species
GAAGAUUCUGAAGCUGUCUGCAUAGGCGCAGGAAAUACCAUAUGUGUGUAUUUCACAGGGACCACGAUGGAGAAACACACUGUGACUUUCCAAGGUAGGUUUCUUACCUGAGAUUCCUCCCUGCUUGUUCAGAGGACAAGAGAAGGCUGACAGGGAUGUUAUUUUUCCUGGCCUCGUUUGCAAAAUGUCAGGCACUGUAGUGUCUUGUGCUGCUCGCUGUCUUGGCACAAAGAGCCAAAGACCAAAAUAAGCCUGGAAACGGACCAGAGCUGGGCAGGGGAGUCCAAGAGGGUCUCUCUCCUAAAAAGGUCCAGAUUGGGAAAAGAGAUGUGCCGGGGAGGUGCCUGGAGCUUUCCAGCUGCUGACAGCCUGGCUUCAAAAGGGCAAGGGCCCAUUUUGGGGAGCUGCUGGUGCAGAUUUGAGGAGCAGGGGGAGUGGCAUGGGAAUGCAUCCGGCUAAGAAGCCAACGGCCACGGCCCAUUCUCCCAAAUGCCACAGGCGGGCACAUCGGAGGGAGCGCUUGCAACAGCAAGGGCCUGGAGAUCUCACCCUGUCAGGCUGCCAGCUCCAGCCUAAUUAAACAAGUCAUCUGCCCGUUUCCUCUUUUGCUCUCGUGCGAGGAAUCAGAUUUGCUCCGUCAACAAUCAUGCCAAGGAUCAGAGGGGACCAGGGCUCGGGAAGAGCAGCUGCUCUGACUCCGCCCAGCGGCUCAGGCGAGGCCGUCAUAAAUACCUUUUCAACAUUAAAAAGCUGCUGUAAGAAAAUUGCACAGACAGACUACAAACAGAGGCACAACUAUGUGGCCCAAAUGAUUCAUUGGAACUUAUGCCUCAAGUACCACCUCCCAGCAGCAAAGAACUGGUGGGAUCACAAACCUGCAAAAGUCUUGGAAAAUGAGCACGCAAAGAUACUGUGGGACUUCCGAAUCCAGACUGACAAAGUUCUGGAACACAACACACCAGACAUCACAGUUGUGAAAAAGAAAAAGAUUUGAAUCAUUGAUGUCGCCAUCCCAGGUGACAGUCAAAUUGAAGAAAAACAACAGGAAAAACUCAGCCGCUAUCAGGACCUCAAGAUUGAACUUCAAAGACUCUGGCAGAAACCAGUGCAGGUGGUCCCGGUGGUGAUGGGCACAUUGGGUGCCGUGCCAAAAAAUCUCAGCCGGCAUUUGGAAACAAUAGACAUUGACAAAAUUACAAUCUGCCAGCUGCAAAAGGCCACCCUGCUGAGAUCUGCGCACAUCAUCUGAAAAUACAUCACACAGUCCUAGACACUUGGGAAGUGUUCGACUUGUGAUUUUGUGACAUGAAAUCCAGCAUAUCUAUCUUGUUUGCUGUGUCAUACUAUGUUGUUGUGUCAAUAAUAAUAAUAAUAAUAAUAAUAAUAACAUUGUCAAAAUUACGAUCUGCCAGCUGCAAAAGGCCACCCUGCUGAGAUCUGCGCGCAUCAUCCAAAAAUACAUCACACAGUCCUAGACACUUGGGAAGUGUUCGACUUGUGAUUUUGUGAUAUGAAAUCCAGCAUAUCUAUCUUGUUUGCUGUGUCAUAAUAAAAUAAUAGUAAUAGCCAAAG